UUUAAUUUUUAUACGACCGCAAAAAAAUUUUGUGGUCGUAUAUUGGUAUGACGUUGGCGUCGUCGUCGUCUUGAGAUAGUAUUAAGAUAUUAAGAUUAACUCCUGUUGAUUUAAACAUGGAUAUAGUUUCUUGUUGUUAGACUAUGACGAUUUUAAUAUUUUGUAAAUUUGUAAACCAUUAGCAAUACCAAAUUUAUUACAUUGUAUUAUUUCUCAUUAAUGUUACCGAUAAGAGUUCUUAGGUAUGUAUUGUUCUAUCAAAACAAUUAUGUUUGCUUUUGUAUUGUUCAAGUAUAUAGUUAAGACAUCCCAUUUUAAUAAACAAGUCAAAGACUCUACUUGCUAUGAUAUACCAUUUUUCACCAUCCAAACAAGUAUGUUUGUUCAUUGCGUACCUUGAAAAGGGCACAGGCAUUUGAUGCAAGUAUGAAGAAGUUAUAUAUUUAUGAUUUUAUUGUGAUUUUUAAGACAAAGAUAAUAGAGUACUGGUUCAUUGUUCCUCAUUUGUUUUACAACAGUAUAUGUGCUUGUACACUCUACAUGUUUUUUUUAUUAGUAAAUAAAUCAAAGAAAAUUU